rnacentral:rRNA from 1 species
CAGGGAUUGCCCUAGUAACGGCGAGUGAAGCGGCAACAGCUCAAAUUUGAAAUCUGGCCCUCUAGGGGGUCCGAGUUGUAAUUUGCAGAGGGUGCUUUGGCGUUGGCAGCGGUCUAAGUUCCUUGGAACAGGACGUCACAGAGGGUGAGAAUCCCGUACGUGGUCGCCAGCCUUCGCCGUGUAAAGCCCCUUCGACGAGUCGAGUUGUUUGGGAAUGCAGCUCUAAAUGGGAGGUAAAUUUCUUCUAAAGCUAAAUACUGGCCAGAGACCGAUAGCGCACAAGUAGAGUGAUCGAAAGAUGAAAAGCACUUUGGAAAGAGAGUCAAAAAGCACGUGAAAUUGUUGAAAGGGAAGCGCUUGCAGCCAGACUUGCCUGUAGUUGCUCAGCCGGGCUCCGGCCCGGUGCACUCUUCUGCGGGCAGGCCAGCAUCAGUUCGGGCGGCCGGAUAAAGACCUCUGUCACGUACCUCUCUUCGGGGAGGACUUAUAGGGGAGGUGGAAUGCGGCCAGUCCGGACUGAGGUCCGCGCAUCUGCUAGGAUGCUGGCGUAAUGGCUGUAAGCGGCCCGUCUUGAAACACGGACCAAGGAGUCUAACAUCUAUGCGAGUGUUUGGGUGUCAAGCCCGAGCGCGUAAUGAAAGUGAACGGAGGUGGGAACCCCUCGCGGGGUGCACCAUCGACCGAUCCUGAUGUCUUCGGAUGGAUUUGAGUAAGAGCAUAGCUGUUGGGACCCGAAAGAUGGUGAACUAUGCUUGAAUAGGGUGAAGCCAGAGGAAACUCUGGUGGAGGCUCGCAGCGGUUCUGACGUGCAAAUCGAUCGUCAAAUUUGGGCAUAGGGGCGAAAGAC